UCAAAGUCCGGGGGGCAGGUAGGCAGCAUGUGCAGUGCCAAGGUCUCUGCUUUGUCCUGGUGGCCCUGCCCCCAGCUGUCCUUCUGCUCUGUCCUGUCUGUGCUGAGUCUGCUGAGAGCGUCCCUGCAGGCACUGCUCAGACAGACAAUCAGACAGACAGGAGGAAGGAUGGACAGAAGGACAGAAGGAGGCAGGCGCGUGCACACACACGCACACACACACACACACACACAAACACGGGCGCUGUCGUCCGCCGGCACUGUCCCUCCUCCCUGCCCCCAACGCCCCUUCCCGGCAACCCCUCCACAUGACGUCCUCCCUCCAUCCCCGGGCGACCCAUUUCCAAACACUUCCCCGGCACGGCACUGCAAUGCAGCAGCCACUGACCUAGCUCGGGUGCCUCUGCCAGGUCAGCGGGGCAGGCCCCCGGCCGGAGGCAGCCGCGGAGCCCCGGCCCCACCGCCAGGCCAGCUGCACCUUCUCUAGCUGGCACCCGGGCCCCAGCAGGAGUCCCUACCUGACCCGCCGAUCAGCCCGAAACUUCAGCAUCUUUUUGGCAGCUCUGUCCCGCAAUCGGCAGCCUCGGGGGACCUGACAGCCACUCUGCUUCUACCAUCCCUCCACUGGUGACAUAAUCUCUUCUGGCCAAUGUGGUUCUUUCCAGCAGCCAGGGCAUUCUGGUGCCAUCACAGUCUGUUGCUAUGGCAAUCCUGUGACGUCACGGCCGAUGGAGGAGAGAGGAGCUAAUCUAAUUGUUUAAAUCUGAGGACAGAACUCAGGCCGGGAACAUUGCAGUGUUGGGAAAAGCCGACGAACAUUCUUUUGGUUGUUUUGUUGUUUGUUUUUUUUUUUCCCUUGGUUUGGGGGCCAGAUCUGGCUGUAGCUGUUGGGGCUGGACUGAGCUACCAGGGCGAGCCCAUGUAUACUGCACCGUACUACGGACAGGAACAUAGGGACCCAUGAAAAUGGGCGAGACUUCUCGUGUGUCCUGACUGGUUUGGAUGAAGCUGAACAUUUUCCCCCUUUCAAGCUGCCUUCAGAAAAAUAAUUUCAGAAUACUGAAAAGAGCAGUUUUUCCUUCUCUCACAGAAGCCUGGCUGGUCUUUGACAUGCAGAUGGUGUUAGCCAGGCCUGACCUUUGAGAUUGUAAAAUGUAGGCUCUGGCCCAGCUUUGUCUUUGGGAUGCAGAUUUCAGGUGCCUGCCCAGUUUGUAUUUGAAGUGGCAAGCACAGCCUAGUCUUUGGGAUGUAAAUCCAGGUGCCUGAAGAAGGUUUCAGUUUCGGUUUUGUAUCCAGGUGCCUGUAGGUUUCAGUUUCGGUUUUGUAUCUUUCCCUUCUCAGUUCUGUAUUCUUUUCCCGAGGCUAUAGGCCUACCCAUACAAGGAAACAAUAUGUUCCAUUGUCUCAAUGUUCUCCCUGUAACAUUUUUUGAUGCCUUUGGUGACAUCACUAUAUUGCACCCUUUAGAGGUACCAUGAUCAAUAAAAGGAGGUCCACGAGGCCCUCUGCCUUUGCUAAGAGCCAGAGCGAGCCUUAGUCCUCCAAUCAGU